GUUCAAAAGGCCCUGUCUAUGACAUCAUUUGCUGCUGCAGCCUGGCACAGGUCAGAGUAUUUCGGCGGUUGCCAUCUUCAAACGGUCGUAUUUUAAAAACUAUAAAUCCUACAGCGAAGAGCUUUAUAUUGUGAGAAUCACAAGACCCAGACCUACAUUUUUUUUUUUUUUUUUUUUUUUAAAUUCUUUAUUUUGGUUGUGCAGGUGAUUACAGGAUAUCAACGAACGCCACAACAGCGUAUUGCAAGAUUGACAGUAGUUUGGUAGUGGCAUAGUAAUCUGCACAUUUUUAUAUUUUAUAUCGUGCUGAACUAAAUGGUU